AUAUUUGGCACCGGGGGCAUGUGAGUACCUGGCACCGUGGGGGAAUAUCUGGCACUGGGGACAUAUGUGGCACUGGGAGCACCGCCCUAGCAACAAGGACUACCUCCUAGCAACGAGCAUGACACCCAGUGCAUGAAACACCUGACAACGAGCAUGACACCCAGUGCAUGAAACACCUGGCAACGAGCAUGACACCCAGUGCAUGAAACCCCUGACAACGAGAAGAACAUAGAUAUUGCCAUUUGUUGCUGUGAGAAGCAGCUGCCGAUGUUACAAGAGUAAGACUAGAAGUGUUACACCUGUGCAACUCUCAUAAUGUCGCCUACAAAAUCACAUUACAGGAAAUUCUGCUGUAUGCUAGAAGAUUCUUUAAGACGCUUGGCACGUCAUCGUAUGAGCAAACUUUUAUUCAUGCAAGUUUUUCUUUUCAUUAAAAUAUGUUAUGUUUUGUGGAUUCACUUGUACCCAUCAUACAUAUUCUGUUAACAUUGUUUUUUAUUGUUUUUUACAAAAUAAAAUACUAGUUUUAAAAUUUAAAAAAA